rnacentral:rRNA from 1 species
UACGUAGGAUGCAAGCGUUGUCCGGAAUUAUUGGGCGUAAAGAGCUCGUAGGCGGCUUGUCGCGUCGACCGUGAAACCUCACAGCUCAACUGUGAGCCUGCGGUCGAUACGGGCAGGCUAGAGUUCGGUAGGGGAGACUGGAAUUCCUGGUGUAGCGGUGAAAUGCGCAGAUAUCAGGAGGAACACCGGUGGCGAAGGCGGGUCUCUGGGCCGAUACUGACGCUGAGGAGCGAAAGCGUGGGGAGCGAACAGG